AUACGUAGGGUGCAAGCGUUAAUCGGAAUUACUGGGCGUAAAGCGCACGCAGGCGGUUUGUUAAGUCAGAUGUGAAAUCCCCGGGCUCAACCUGGGAACUGCAUCUGAUACUGGCAAGCUUGAGUCUCGUAGAGGGGGGUAGAAUUCCAGGAGUAGCGGUGAAAUGCGUAGAGAUCUGGAGGAAUACCGGUGGCGAAGGCGGCCCCCUGGACGAAGAUUGACGCUCAGGUGCGAAAGCGUGGGGAGCAAACAGGAUGAGAUACCCGGGUAGUCCACGCCGUAAACGAUGUCGACUUGGAGGUUGUGCCCUUGAGGCGUGGCUUCCGGAGCUAACGCGUUAAGUCGACCGCCUGGGGAGUACGGCCGCAAGGUUAAAACUCAAAGGAAUUGGCGGG
rnacentral:rRNA from 1 species